rnacentral:rRNA from 1 species
AUGGAGCAGAACCUGGAUCCUGGUCCUGUCGAUAAAUCAGUUCUUGUAGAGCAAGAGCUUCAUAAAUCUGAAGCUAUAUCUGUUGGGAAGGCGUACAAACCUAUUAGGUUUAUCGAACAUGGCACAAGACUUAACCAAUGGGAGGUGAAGCAUGAGGGAAUGCUUGCGAUAUUGCAGCGAGCUGGAUUUUACCACCUGUGUUUCUUGAAGAGGGUUCAGUUGGACCAUGCUUUGUUGAAUGCUUUGGUCGAAAGGUGGCGGCGUGAAACACAGACCUUCCACUUGCGGUUUGGGGAGAUGGCCGUGCUCUUGAAGGAUGUGGCCGUUCUUACUGGACUUCGUGUAGAUGGUACUCCUGUGACUGGUGCAACAGGCUGUCAUUGGGAACAAUUGUGCUUAGAGCUACUAGGCCAAGAACCUCCACAGAUAAAAGGUGGUUCUAUCAACAUUGCGUGGUUGUAUCACACUUUUAGUAACUUGCCAGAAGGGGCUAAUCAGUCAGAAAUAGAGCAUGCUACACGGGCCUACAUAAUGUAUCAAAUUGGCUGCAGUUUAUUUCCUGACCCGAGUGGGACCCGCGUGCACUUAAGAUACUUGGCACUGCUUCAUGAUUUUGAUGCCUCAGGGGAGAUGGCAUGGGGGGCUGCUGUUCUUGCUCAUCUCUACAGAGAACUUGGAAAGGCUAGCAUGAAGGGCAAGGCUAACUGUUGUGCUUUUCUCACUCUUCUUCAGGAGCAUAUCCAGAUAGGCCGUCCUGAAAGACUGGAGAAUAAGUCUCUAACCGGCGAUCAGCCCCUUGGAUGCAGGUUUGUAUUUUGGGACGUACCUUUCAAGAACCGUGAAAAUGUCCGAUCCAUAGACCAGGAAUUUUACAGGCAUGGGCUUGAUACUAUAGAAGAUUGUCAGAUAACAUGGGACCCGUACAAACCAAGUCUGAUCGAUGGCCUGCCUGCGCUAUGCACAGUUGGAUCUGCCGUUUGGCGAUCAAGAACUCCAUUAAUCUGCUUCCAGAUAGUGGAAAUGCAUGUGCCUGAUCGUGUCUUACUACAAUUCGGAAUGAUGCAGCACAUUCCAGGCCAAGUUGAGGCAAUUGAGCGUGUUACAAUGCAGGGAAAAACUGAUGAGGAUUGGUCUACCUACCAUGAUAGGUACAUUAAGCAGUGGGAUAACAGACUCCAUUCAGUCGCUGGCCAGCAGAUUGCCGUGAAUUCAGACCCUACUCAUGCAAGGAAUUGUUACUUAGAAUGGUACUGGCAGAUUACACGUCGAUGGAUCUCCACUCCAGUUGAAUGUCCGGUUAUACCCUAUCAGUUAUCUGGGCACAGUGAGAAAUCUCUGGUUGAUCUCGUAAGUACGGUGCAGGGACGAAUUAGAGCGUUGUUAUCAGGUGAAAUCGACGGGAAGACGGUCAAAGAAUCACUUGAAGGUAUUGAUAUGUAUAUUACUGCUGAAAUAGAGGAGGCGCGGUUUGCUAUUACGCCACGUGCUAAUGAACCAGGCUGCUUAAACUAUACGGAUCGACAUAUGGUUAUGCCCUCAACUCCGCUGCAGGUUAUGCAAAUUGUUGUUCCAACUGAAAUGAGAAAUGUGGGUGUUGAGUCAGCAACGACCUAUUCAGCUUCUGUGGAUUUUGUUCAAGCUACUGUUACAAAGCUGGAACAAGUCACUGAUGAUUGCAUGGAGGGAAAUACCAUACUACAAUUGGACCAAACGAGGGGAAUUCAACCUGCAGGAGGAACAGCUGCAGCUUCUCAUCCUACAGGAGAUGGCACCACCAACCGGAGCGAGGAUGUGCAUCAUCAGAAAGAAGAUCCUCUUUCUGUGUCCAUGACAGAAGUCAAUCUGCGGGACAUAAUGAGCACGCCUGUAGAGGAUGCUGUGACUGAGUUUAUGAAUACAUCUCCUAAGGAUGCUACACUGGAGGAGGCUUCAGAUGCAGAAAUGAAGAAUGGAGAAGGUCAUCUGCUAACUUCAUGUGUGCUCAUUGAGACCGUGGAGGUGCAGGAGGAUGUUGAACCUAUGGAUAACAAUAAGAUCCAGGAGAAGGUUACUCAUGAACCACAGGAGAGUGUUGAUGCACCUGUGAUUAACAGUGCAGCUGAGGAGAUCGUUCAUGUAUUCACGAAAGACAAUUGCAUGGACGCCGCUCAUGUUGAUCCUGACAGCGUUGCAGAUCAGAGAACGAAAAACAAAUUGUCUGAUGGUCAAGAAUUUGGCAAGAUCUUGGGUGUAUCUUCACAUGAUGAUCAACUGCAAAAAAUCACUAGUGCAUCUGAGAAGGAUGAUGCAGUUGAUGACACUGUGGACAUGAGAAUAGACGUAAGUACAGGUCAGGGGGCGAUUGGUGAACCUUUCAAUGCCACUGGACUUGGAGAGAACUUGAAUGCUUCUGAGAAUAAGCCAAGUUCAAUGAAAGAAAAUGCUGGACCUCCAUCAGGUUCUGAACAGGAAGAACCUGCUGCUGCUGCAGUGCCAGGGUGCGGUGAGGACCAUGUUGUUGAUGCGGCGCAGAACCUUAUCUUGCAAGCGGAUGUUGAUGACCAAAUUGGGAACGACACUUUGGACCCUCCAGUCUUGCAGAAAAUUGCUGUGCAUGUCACUAGUGUUGGAGAGAACCGUUUUAGUUCAUUCACUGUCGAAGCAACCGAUACACUUGAAAAGGAGACGUCUACCGGUGAUGGGUAUCCUGAUGAGUAUGAAAUAUCUAGUAAAAGGAGGAAAGUGGCGGCUUCUUGGCAUGAAAAUGCAGGGGCUCCAGAUACUAAAAUAGAGGGAAAUGCGAAAACUGAUGAGCAAACUUGCCGGCAUGUUAGAACUGGCAGCGCCCAAGCCCAGAUGGUAGCAAUCACAAGAAGGAAAACAAAUAAUGCAGAAGUAAUGCAGUCUUCUCCCUGA